CCUACGGGUGGCUGCAGUGGGGAAUAUUGCACAAUGGGCGCAAGCCUGAUGCAGCCAUGCCGCGUGUGUGAAGAAGGCCUUCGGGUUGUAAAGCACUUUCAGCGGGGAGGAAGGCGGUGAGGUUAAUAACCUCAUCGAUUGACGUUACCCGCAGAAGAAGCACCGGCUAACUCCGUGCCAGCAGCCGCGGUAAUACGGAGGGUGCAAGCGUUAAUCGGAAUUACUGGGCGUAAAGCGCACGCAGGCGGUCUGUCAAGUCGGAUGUGAAAUCCCCGGGCUCAACCUGGGAACUGCAUUCGAAACUGGCAGGCUAGAGUCUUGUAGAGGGGGGUAGAAUUCCAGGUGUAGCGGUGAAGUGCGUAGAGAUCUGGAGGAAUACCGGUGGCGAAGGCGGCCCCCUGGACAAAGACUGACGCUCAGGUGCGAAAGCGUGGGGAGCAAACAGGAUUAGAUACCCUAGUAGUC
rnacentral:rRNA from 1 species